UACGGGGGGAGCAAGCGUUGUUCGGAUUUACUGGGCGUAAAGGGCGCGUAGGCGGCCUGCUAAGUCGAACGUGAAAUCCCUGGGCUCAACCCAGGAACUGCGUCCGAUACUGGUUGGCUUGAAUCCGGGAGAGGGAUGUGGAAUUCCAGGUGUAGCGGUGAAAUGCGUAGAUAUCUGGAGGAACACCGGUGGCGAAGGCGGCAUCCUGGACCGACACUGACACUGAGGAGCGAAAGCCAGGGGAGCAAACGGG
rnacentral:rRNA from 1 species